rnacentral:rRNA from 1 species
UUGGGUAGCUGUAAGUAAGCGUUGAUCCAGAGAUUUCCGAAUGGGGGAACCUAGCACGAGUUAUGUCGUGUUAUCGACAAGUGAAUUCAUAGCUUGUCAGAAGGCAGACCCGGAGAACUGAAACAUCUUAGUACCCGGAGGAAGAGAAAGAAAAAUCGAUUCCCUGAGUAGCGGCGAGCGAAACGGGAAGAGCCCAAACCAAUAAGCUUGCUUAUUGGGGUUGUAGGACACUCUAUACGGAGUUACAAAGGAAUAUGUUAGACGAAUCAUCUGGAAAGUUGAAUCAAAGAAGGUAAUAAUCCUGUAGUUGAAAAUAUAUUCUCUCUUGAGUGGAUCCUGAGUACGACGGAGCACGUGAAAUUCCGUCGGAAUCUGGGAGGACCAUCUCCUAAGGCUAAAUACUCUCUAGUGACCGAUAGUGAACCAGUACCGUGAGGGAAAGGUGAAAAGUACCCCGGAAGGGGAGUGAAAGAGAACUUGAAACCGUGUGCUUACAAGUAGUCAGAGCCCGUUAAUGGGUGAUGGCGUGCCUUUUGUAGAAUGAACCGGCGAGUUACGAUCUGAUGCAAGGUUAAGCAGGAAAUGUGGAGCCGUAGCGAAAGCGAGUCUGAAUAGGGCGUUGAGUAUUUGGUCGUAGACCCGAAACCAGGUGAUCUACCCAUGGUCAGGUUGAAGUUCAGGUAACACUGAAUGGAGGACCGAACCGACUUACGUUGAAAAGUGAGCGGAUGAACUGUGGGUAGCGGAGAAAUUCCAAUCGAACUUGGAGAUAGCUGGUUCUCUCCGAAAUAGCUUUAGGGCUAGCCUCAAGUGAUGAUUAUUGGAGGUAGAGCCA